rnacentral:rRNA from 1 species
AGGACGAACGCUGGCGGCGUGCUUAACACAUGCAAGUCGAGCGGAAAGGCCCUUCGGGGUACUCGAGCGGCGAACGGGUGAGUAACACGUGAGCAACCUGCCCUUAGCUUCGGGAUAGCUCCGGGAAACCGGAAUUAAUACCGGAUAUGACUAUGGCCGACAUCAGCCAUGGUGGAAAGUUUUUCGGCUAGGGAUGGACUCGCGGCCUAUCAGCUAGUUGGUGAGGUAACGGCUCACCAAGGCGACGACGGGUAGCCGGCCUGAGAGGGCGACCGGCCACACUGGGACUGAGACACGGCCCAGACUCCUACGGGAGGCAGCAGUGGGGAAUAUUGCGCAAUGGGCGAAAGCCUGACGCAGCGACGCCGCGUGGGGAUGAAUGCCUUCGGUGUAAACCCUUUCAGCAGGACGAAGCGAAAGUGACGGUACCUGCAGAAGAAGCGCCGGCUAACUACGUGCCAGCAGCCGC